rnacentral:rRNA from 1 species
GACGUAGGGCGCGAGCGUUGUCCGGAUUUAUUGGGCGUAAAGAGCUCGUAGGCGGCUUGUUGCGUCGACCGUGAAAACCCGCGGCUUAACUGCGGGCUUGCGGUCGAUACGGGCGGGCUGGAGUUCGGUAGGGGAGACUGGAAUUCCUGGUGUAGCGGUGAAAUGCGCAGAUAUCAGGAGGAACACCGGUGGCGAAGGCGGGUCUCUGGGCCGAUACGCGCUGAGGAGCGAAAGCGUGGGGAGCGAACAGG